GAUGAACGCUGGCGGCGUGCCUAAUACAUGCAAGUCGAGCGAACAGACGAGGAGCUUGCUCCUCUUACGUUAGCGGCGGACGGGUGAGUAACACGUGGAUAACCUACCUAUAAGACUGGGAUAACUUCGGGAAACCGGAGCUAAUACCGGAUAAUAUAUUGAACCGCAUGGUUCAAUAGUGAAAGACGGUUUUGCUGUCACUUAUAGCUGGAUCCGCGCCGCAUUAGCUAGUUGGUAAGGUAACGGCUUACCAAGGCAACGAUGCGUAGCCGACCUGAGAGGAUGAUCCGCCACACUGGAACUGAGACACGGUCCAGACUCCUACGGGAGGCAGCAGUAGGGAAUCUUCCGCAAUGGGCGAAAGCCUGACGGAGCAACGCCGCGUGAGUGAUGAAGGUCUUCGGAUCGUAAAACUCUGUUAUUAGGGAGGAACGAAUGAGUAAGUAACUAUGCACGUCUUGACGGUACCUAAUCAGAAAGCCACGGCUAACUACGUG
rnacentral:rRNA from 1 species